GUAAGCCACUUACCUCUUUGAGCCUCAAUUUUCUCCUCUGUGAAAGGGGCUGGUAACGUCUGUGAUAAAAAUACUUCAUUGAUGGUGUGGGACCGACCGAGGCAACAUAGGCAAAAAAACAAUGUUUGAAAACAUUAAUUGCUAUUGGGUUAUAAGGAAAUAGUCUUAUUAAUAUGAUCAAAUCUCUUGCUAGCUUGUUGAUUUCCUCAGUAGGAGCUGUCAUGUGCUGUGUGAUCUUAGACAAGUCGCUCAACUGCUCUGAGCUGCAGUUGUUUCCUCAGUGAUAUGGGGAGAGCAGACUUAAUUACUAAAUCUCCCAACAUCGUAUGAUUCUGUGCUGACACUGAGCUUCCCUUGGAAAUUGGAAAAAGCACAGGCUUUGAAGUCUGACAGAGUGGGGUCAAUACCUCGCUUCACAGCUUGCUGCCUUUUUGUCUUUCUGGACCCUUAAAAGUUUGUCUCGCAGGGUUCCAGGUAUUUUUGAAAACUAACCACAGUCCUGCUGAAGGGCAAUUUUGCCUGCAAUGAGACGCCAGCUGUGAGCAGAGCUCUGCAGGACAGAAAAUGGGUCAGGCCAAGGUUCGGGUCUAUAAUUUUCAAACUCCAGUGGCCCAUGUGAUAGAACCAGUUUGCUUUUGCGUGUUGAAUUUUCAUUGACUGAAUAACAGUGCUCCAAGAGCUGGGAUGGCCUUUUGGUCCCCUUGCUGUGGGUUGUGCGCUCUCCAGGUGCAGCUCAAGCACUGCAGACAGGCCCCUCGGCCCCCGGCCCAGGGUAUGCCACUGGGUCAACAGGGCUUUGAAGUCCACACACUGGCUGACGGAUCAGCAGCCCCUGGGGUCAUCUCCACAAGCUUUGUCACUGAAAAUUAGGAAAGGCACACAGAAGCUGGCAUUGCCCGAGAGGUGAGAGGAGGAAAAUGAUGGCGUCUUUGAUGAAAACAGUGGAGAAAUUCACCCAAAUUCACAGUCUGACUCCAUCAGCAGGAUGUGGGAUUGUUGCUCCCUACUCUCCCUCCUUGUGGCUCAAAAUCCAUGCAGUGAGCUGGUUUAUCUUUCACCUGAGCCGAUGUGUGCCAACCAGUGCUUCUGUGGGGAUCGAGCCGGUGAGAGGAUGCUGGUGAUGCUGGUGCUCUGCAAGGUCCAGAAGGAGCUUCUGAUUCACCAAACAUGCGUAGGCCACGUUCAAGAGCAUUUUAGUGCUGAGUGUUACUUAUUUCUUUUUCCGUAUUCUCUCUUUGGGGCACUGGUUUUCCUGUCUUCAGCAUUUACGGAGAGCGCCCUCUGGGACAGGCGCUUAACGUGAUUGUCACAUUGUCUCACUUAAUCUCCACGGCAUCCCUGAGGAGGAUGGUGUAUUGUCCCUGUGCUGCACAUGAGGAAAGCUCUGGGAGGUUAGACCUGGCUGAGGGGAACACAGCUGGAGGCAGCGGAGUGGGGGCCCCUCGCUGUCUGACCCUCCAGCUCGUGUUCAGAACUCCUGCUGGUAGAGCUUUGUUCGGAUAAGGUGCUGGGUAAGUAGGAAUCAGGAUAUUUGGUGGACUAGCAGGCCUCCUUUCCUGUCCUUGCUCCUCAAGUUCAAAGCCUUACAGUCACCUCCUCUUCCCCUUUAUCCUUGUUCUGCACAUCCUCUUGGGUACAGAGUCCUGUCAAUUUGUCCUUCCCAGUGUCCCUUGCAUUUCUUUUUCUUCUUACCCUCAUGACUGCACACUUGGGUUCUUGCAGUAGCCUCCCAGUCUUUCCCUUUUCCAUCCUCUCUGCUCACCCUGCCAGAUUCAUCUUCCUAUAACACUGCUUUGUCCUAUAAUGUUGCUUUUAAAACAUCCCAGGGGCUCUCUGUGGCUCACAGGAUAAAGUCAGUACCCAGGGCCUAACAUCGAGACCCUCCCCUUGCAGCCAGGAUUGACCUCAAUGCUGCCUAGAAUGCCACACGUCUUUCCAGCCAGCCUCCCCUCUGUUAAGAUCUCAUCCCGGCCCAGCUGAUGCGGCCUGUCUUCCGUGAAGCUUCCUCUCCCUGGCUGGCAGGGCUGACGCCCCCCUGAGCAUUUUGUAACAUUUAAACAGCCCAGCUCACUUACUGCUUCACUGCACUGAUGGAGGUGCCGUGUCCUCUCUAAUCCCAGCGUGAGGAUGGAGCCCAUGGGUGUGUCACGGUCCUUAGCUGUGCCUCGCACAUGGGACCCUUGCCUGGUUGAAACAGGGAAAACCAGAUAGUGAGAAAUCAGUCACUUAUUUUUACUAUGUGCCAGACAGUGUCUUAAUCCUUUUAUAGGUAAUAAUUCCCUUAAUCCUUGCAACUGUCUGAAGAGGUAGGAGAUGUUAUGGUCCCCGUGACAGAGAUGAGGAAACCAGCGCACAGCUGGCUGAACUAACUUGUCAGAGAAUGAGUGAUGGACCCAGGGUUCAGAUCCAAGCAGUCUGCCUCCAGGACCAGGCUCUCACUGUGGCUGCCUCUCCGGGACUCCUGCCUCUUCUCCGUGGAAGGUCCCGCAAGCUGACAGGUGUACUCUCAUAAGAGCUAUCCCGUGGGCUUAGAGACUUAUCAUCUGUGGCACGUUCAGGAGGGUCUGGGAAUAAAUAGGAUGCAGCAAUUCUUUAAGCCAUUACAAGAAGCCUUGCCCACCUCGGCAAUGUGCGUUGGGCUAAUUGGUGAGCUAAUGUAACUGGCUCCAAGUGCUGGGGUUCCCGGGUGACAGGUGCUAUGUAAAAACAAAGCACAUUUUCUGUGUCCUGUGUGACAGGGUGACUUCAUUCCCCAGUAGUCAGACUCUGGGCGUGGGACUCCUGAACACUCCGCUUUUGGCGUGAGAUGAUUACGCAGUUAAUAAUCCUAAUUGGCCUAGUGCACGUGCCCUAUGUUUAUCACCCCCAUCUCAUAAUUAAUUUUUUAAUUUUCCCUAACUUUGCAACUCAAUCUGUGCACCAGAGCGACUGCAAACCCAUAUUUAUCUAAUUUAGCAAACAUUUGCAUGUGCUGCAAUUAGGCUCACUUGUUGUGUGAGCAGCGUCCUUUGCUAAUUGCGUAAUUCCUUUUGCGUUUAAUUGUCAGACAGCGUCCUUCACUUUUUUGUGUCUAUGUGGUUUGCUGCUUGUGGAAUCUCAGGCUGAGGCGCCUGCAAUCAGAGAACUAAAGACAUUCUGGAGCUGGGAGGAGCAGCCUUCCUUGCCUGCAGAGUUUCUUUGCUGGGAAGGCAGAGGAAGCCAGGAGAGGCCCAUCAGAAUGGACUUCACCACUUCAUCGGCCCAGGUCGCGAUGCGGAAGCACCGAGAAUCAUCGGAGCUGGAAAGUAUAGUCCAGUGGUGUGCUAGGAAAGAAGGGGAGAAGGCCUUUUGGCCUCUGCCACGUCUCUUGACUUGGACACCUUCCCACUGCUGCUGACAGCAAUCAGACACCUGCUCCCUGAGCCCAUGGCAGCCAGCAUGCCUCUUCUACAGCACUCGCCACCCUCUCUCAGGUAUGCCCUCUGUCUCCUGGCUCCUAACAUAGUCCCUAGGGAAUAGUAGGUACUCAGUAACUGCAUAGUGAAUGAAUGGAUGCAUGAAUUGCACACUGUUGAAAUGUGUGCCUGUCAUCCGGUCAGCGCAGGGAGAACAUACGCAAUGACCAAGGUAGGGCUGGAAGCUUUUUUUUUUUAAGGAAGAUCAGUCCUGAGCUAACAUCUGCCAAUCCUCCUUUUUUGCUGAGGAAGACUAGCCCUGAGCUAACAUCUGUGCCCAUCUUCCCCUGCUUUAUAUGUGGGACACCUGCCACAGCAUGGCUUGAUGAGCUGUGCCAUGUCCGCGCCCGGGAUCCAAACCGGCGGAUCCCGGGCCGCCAAAGGGGAAUGUGCGCACUUAACCGCUGCGCCACCAGGCCGGCCCCUGGGAACAUUUUAACAGCCUAUGUAGAUGGGCCAGAGCAAUGAGAUUGAAUUUACCUAGUGCAAAAUAACACAAAGUCUACCUCUAGUUUCAAAAAACCGGUUGCCCAAACAAACAGUGGAUGAUACUUGAAAGGGUACAGUCCAUAUUCAAAAAAGCCAGUAGGGGAUGGGUCUUAGUGGGCCACAAGCUAAUGUGAAAUAAGAUUGUGACAGAGAUGCUAAGAUGGGACCGCAUUUCCUAAGUAGAAGCUGGGUCGAGAUCGAUGCAUUGGAGCCUCCCUGUAGGUUUUGGGCUCGCUCAGGUCACAUCUGGGGCGUGAUGUUCAUUUGGUCUAGGACUUCAGUUUACAAAGCGUUUUCCCAGGCACCAUCUUGUUGCACUGUCCCAACGAGAUGGUUUACGUACCGGCAAGGGCAAGCCGACUUGCUCAAGGUCCCCUAGCUGGCGGGUGGCAGAGCCCAGCUUUCUGCCCCCUUGUCCAUACUCUUUCCGCUUCAUCGUGCCGCGUUAUGCAGACCAGAGCUCCUGCUGUGCAGCAUCUAAAAGCAAGACCGGCACGAUGCUUGUCAAGCGCUGUCAACAGGGGACACGCUCAGAUGGGCACCUCGCCAUCAGGCAGCCCGACAGUGAUGGCUCAGAAACCAUGUUUCCUAACGCAGGAGGGCUGUGACGGGCCAAGUCACACCCGCAGCACAGUGACACUGCCUGUUUCAAAACUGACAGCGAGCGUGGAACGUCACCUCACCUCUGAGUGAGCCCAGGAAGCGACAACUCUCCGUGGCCAGGAAUCUCAGCUCCUCAGAUUCCGUGGAAAGGAGUAGCGAGCUGGUCCUAAAGGAGGAAGAGGAAAUGGAAACGAGCUAAACUGUCAGCUGCCUAGUGAGUGUCUGGCUCAAGACUCCUCACGUUUGCUUGAUCUCCUGUUUUUAACGCAGUACCUUUCUCUGCAGCCUCUCUGCUCACCCUGGUCACCAUUUGACUCCUCCGCCCCCUGGCGUUGGGUUGUUAUCAUAAUCCUUCACAUCCAUCUGGCUUCCCUCAACGGUUAUCUUAUUCACUCUCCUAAAAAAAAAAAAAUCCUGUGAGGAAAGAAGAAAACUGCACAACUCACUUUUGUGUGGAGUCUAAAAAAGUCGAAUACAGAGAAGCAGAGAGCAGGC
rnacentral:lncRNA from 1 species